rnacentral:rRNA from 1 species
UACGAAGGGGGCUAGCGUUGCUCGGAAUCACUGGGCGUAAAGCGCACGUAGGCGGCUUUUUAAGUCAGGGGUGAAAUCCUGGAGCUCAACUCCAGAACUGCCUUUGAUACUGAGAAGCUUGAGUCCGGGAGAGGUGAGUGGAACUGCGAGUGUAGAGGUGGAAUUCGUAGAUAUUCGCAAGAACACCAGUGGCGAAGGCGGCUCACUGGCCCGGUACUGACGCUGAGGUGCGAAAGCGUGGGGAGCAAACGGG